GAGUUUGAUCAUGGCUCAGAUUGAACGCUAGCGGGAUGCUUUACACAUGCAAGUCGAACGGCAGCACGAGAGAGCUUGCUCUCUUGGUGGCGAGUGGCGGACGGGUGAGUAAUAUAUCGGAACGUGCCCAGUAGCGGGGGAUAACUACUCGAAAGAGUGGCUAAUACCGCAUACGCCCUACGGGGGAAAGGGGGGGAUUCUUCGGAACCUCUCACUAUUGGAGCGGCCGAUAUCGGAUUAGCUAGUUGGUGGGGUAAAGGCUCACCAAGGCAAUGAUCCGUAGCUGGUUUGAGAGGACGACCAGCCACACUGGGACUGAGACACGGCCCAGACUCCUACGGGAGGCAGCAGUGGGGAAUUUUGGACAAUGGGGGAAACCCUGAUCCAGCCAUCCCGCGUGUAUGAUGAAGGCCUUCGGGUUGUAAAGUACUUUUGGCAGAGAAGAAAAGGUACCUCCUAAUACGAGGUACUGCUGACGGUAUCUGCAGAAUAAGCACCGGCUAACUACGUGCCAGCAGCCGCGGUAAUAC
rnacentral:rRNA from 1 species